rnacentral:tRNA from 1 species
UCCCUGGUGGUCCAGUGGCUGGACAUGCUCCCAAUGCAGAGGGCCUGGGUUCGAUCCCUGGUCAGGGAA